rnacentral:rRNA from 1 species
CACGUAGGGGGCGAGCGUUGUCCGGAUUUAUUGGGCGUAAAGAGCUCGUAGGCGGUUCGGCAAGUCGGGUGUGAAAUUUCGAGGCUCAACCUCGAAACGCCACUCGAUACUGCUGUGACUGGAGUCCGGUAGAGGAGUGCGGAAUUCCUGGUGUAGCGGUGAAAUGCGCAGAUAUCAGGAGGAACACCUGUGGUGUAGACAGCUUACUGGACCACUUCUGACGCUGAGACACGAAAGCGUGGGUAGCAAACAGG